rnacentral:rRNA from 1 species
CCUACGGGGUCUGCAGUGGGGAAUAUUGGACAAUGGGCGAAAGCCUGAUCCAGCCAUGCCGCGUGUGUGAAGAAGGCCUUCGGGUUGUAAAGCACUUUCAGUGGGGAAGAAAGCCUUGGGGCUAAUACCCUCGAGGAAGGACAUCACCCACAGAAGAAGCACCGGCUAACUCCGUGCCAGCAGCCGCGGUAAUACGGAGGGUGCGAGCGUUAAUCGGAAUUACUGGGCGUAAAGCGCGCGUAGGCGGUCUGAUAAGCCGGUUGUGAAAGCCCCGGGCUCAACCUGGGAACGGCAUCCGGAACUGUCAGGCUAGAGUGCAGGAGAGGAAGGUAGAAUUCCCGGUGUAGCGGUGAAAUGCGUAGAGAUCGGGAGGAAUACCAGUGGCGAAGGCGGCCUUCUGGACCGACACUGACGCUGAGGUGCGAAAGCGUGGGUAGCAAACAGGAUUAGAUACCCCAGUAGUC